ensembl:lncRNA
CCCUAUGGGUCUCUAUGGGUCUCUAUGGGUCUCUAUGGGUCUCUAUGGGUCUCUAUGGGUCUCUAUGGGUCCCUAUGGGUCUCUAUGGGUCUCUAUGGGUCCCUAUGGGUCUCUAUGGGUCUCUAUGUGUCUCUAUGGGUCUCUAUGGGUUUCUAUGGGGUCCCUAUAGGUCUCUAUGGGUCUCUAUGGGGUCCGUAGGUCUCGGUGUCCGUUGGGGGCUCGCUGUUGCUCCGUGACACUGUGGGUUCCCUGCAGUCUCUAUGGGGUUAUGGGGUCUCUAUAGGGUCCUUAUGGGGUCCUUAUGGGGUUAUGGGGUUAUAGAGUCCCUUUAGGGUCCUUAUGGAGUCCUUAUUGGGUCAUAUGGGAUCCUUAUGGGGUCACAUAGCAUCCUUAUGGGGUCCUUAUGGGGUAAUGGGGUUAUGGGGUCUCUAUAGGAUCCUUAUGGGGUCGUAUGGGGUCCUUAUGUGAUCCUUAUGGGGUUAUAGGGCUAUAGCGUCCCUAUAGGGUCCUUAUGGGGCCAUAUGAAAUCCUUAUGGGGUCCUUAUGGGGUCCCUAUGGGGUUAUGGGGUCCUUAUGGGGUUUUAGGUUCCUUAUAGGAAUCUUAUGGGGUCCUUAUGGGAUAAUGGGGUUAUGGGGCCCUUACGGGAUCCUUAUGGGGUCCUUAUGGAAUCCCUAUGGGAUUAUGAGGUUAUAGGGUCCCUAUAGGGUCCUUAUGGGGUCUUUAUAGGGUAGUGAUGUUAUGGAGCCCUUAUGGGGCCCUUAUGGGGUCCCUAUGGGGUAAUGGGGUUAUGGGGUCCCUAUAGGUCCCUUAUAGGGUCUCUAUGGGGUCCCUAUGGGGUAGUAGUGCUAUAGGGUCCCUAUAGGAUACUUAUAGGGUCCUUAUGGGGUCCUUACGGGGUCCCUAUGGGGUAAUGGGGUUAUGGGGUCCCUAUAGGUCCUUAUAAGGUCCCUAUAGGAUCCUUAUAGGGUCCCUAUGGGGUCCCUAUGGGUCUCUAUGGGGUCCGUAGGUCUCGGUGUCCAUUGGGGGCUCGCUGUUGCUCCGUGACACCGUGGGUUCCCUUCGGUCUCUAUGGGAACGAACGAGCUUCGAACUCGAGAAGCUUCAAUGCGAACCCAACUGCGCAUGCGCGGAGGAACGAGAACUCCGGUACCGCCAGGGGGCGCAAUAUUCCAUCAACUUCCGGCCUGUGGCUACGCUGCCCAAACUCGUUGGCUCUGUGGGUCCCCGCGUUGCGGUGCUACGUGAGGAGGGCAGCAAUGGGGACAGGGAGAUGGCGGCCGCCUUCCACAUGGCGGGAUUCCAGGUCUGACCCACACUUAUGGGGCGGGAUGUGGGGCAACACGCUAAAUCCCAUUGGCCGCCAUCUUGGAUCCCAUGGGCGCCAUAUUGGAUCCCAUUGGCCACCAUAUUGGAUCCCAUUGACCGCCAUAUUGGGCGCCAUCUUGGAUCCCAUUGGCCGCCAUCUUGGAUCCCAUUGGCCGCCAUUUUGGAUCCCAUUGGCCGCCAUGUUGGAUCCCAUUAGCCACCAUAUUGGGCGCCAUAUUGGAUCCCAUUGUCCGCCAUCUUGGAUCCCACUGGCCGCCAUCUUGGAUCCCAUUGGGCGCCAUCUUGGAUCCCAUUGGGCGCCAUAUUGGAUCCCAUUGGGGUUCCCAUUGGGCGCCAUAUUGGAUCCCAUUGGGGUUCCCAUUGGGCGCCAUAUUGGAUCCCAUUGGGGUUCCCAUUGGGCGCCAUAUUGGAUCCCAUUGGGCGCCAUAUUGGAUCCCAUUGACCGCUAUAUUGGGCACCAUAUUGGAUCCCAUUGGGUGCCAUAUUGGAUCCCCUUGGCUGCCAUAUUGGAUCCCAUUGGCCGCCAUAUUGGGCGCCAUCUUGGAUCCCAUUGGCUGCCAUAUUGGAUCCCAUUAGCCGCCAUAUUGGGCGCCAUAUUGCAUCCCAUUGGGCGCCAUCUUGGAUCCCAUUGGGCGCCAUCUUGGAUCCCACUGGCCGCCAUCUUGGAUCCCAUUGGCCGCCAUCUUGGAUCCCAUUGGCCGCCAUAUUGGAUUGACCCAUUGUGGUUCCCAUUUGUAGGGUCCCCCCCUCGCCCCCCAUAUCCCAACCCCAUAACCGUGACCCCACUGCUGCCCCAU